ACCAAAAAAAAACACAUCCCUCCCCAAUCCCUAGCUCCUCCCCUCGUCUCCACCCACAGCCGCCGCCGCCGCACGCCCGCAGCCCUCCUCCGCUCCGCUCUGACCAUCCAAAUGGUGCUCCUCCUCACGCCCACGCCGUCCUCCUCCUCAAGACAUCACCGUUUUCUCCCCUCCUCUGUGACCGGCCUGCGUGAUCCCAACGCGGGGGACGACAUUAACCAUGGAGCGGAGCCCUGUGGGACGAGGUGGAGAUUGGAGAAUGCCGCGGCGAUGAGGGGCACCACAUACGUGGUACCACCACGCACCAUGGUGGGGAUGAGAGGUGUUGUAGCCCUUCCAUCGAGCUCGACUCCGGCGGUCCACGCCGGCAACGACGAUAACAUGAUCCCUACCAGUGAUGAGCACGACGUGCUCCGGCCCAACCACCUCGACCUCCACAAGCCCCGUCGAGAUUCCUCAAAGAGGUUCUGCGGUACAGCCUAGGAAAUAAAAGGUGAGUCAAUUUGAAGCAUGACCACCACCAACGUGCUUUUUUCUUCUUUCUCUUUCUAAUAAUGUUGAUUGUAUCUAUAAGAUAUGUUAAUAGAUGCAUCGAAGUCUGAUUUGGGGAGGGAUUUCUUAAGCUGAAUGGAGAGGUCAAAUUGAGCUAUAAGCUGUUUUCUACUGUAUUUCUUUAGUUCCAAUUCAUUGGAUUUGAUAUUAAAGUUCUAUAGCCAAAUGAUAGUUCAGAUUGAGUACAUCUGCUACUCCACUUAUUUAAAAUCUACCAUAUUCUAUUAUUUAAACUAUUAACUAUUGACUAGAUGACGCAGAUGCUUUCCCCAUGGGAUAACUUGACAAUUUUUUAGAGAAGUGAUAAAAAACGUCAAGCUUGAAGAACAAAAGUUUGAGCAAAUAUUGGAAUGCUGACUUCAAAUGCCAUGUAGUUCAUAGUCUAUGUGCAAUGGCUCUUUAAUUUGACUGAAGCAAAUGUGAUCCCAGCGCGUCGACCUUGGAGACGACUGCGAUUGUUUGACGUCCUUCACAACUCACAACUGCUACGGUGCUUCCCGACUCCUUUUUGACUUUCGUCCCCAUGAGUUUUGUUGUUCUGCCGUGCUUGUCCUCUCAUUAUUUUGGAUGAAGUGCGUUGGUCAAUUUCUGUUGGAAGCAACAACAGCAAUAUCAAAAGAACUGAAGAUCUGUUACAAAUUAGUAUAUGUUUUUCUAUGGAUGUGUUUGCUAGACAGGCUUAGGCUGGAUAUUUUGCUUCGUGCUGAUUGGGCAAACGGCUAUCAACACCAAUGUUAGCACCAUCCAUCUUUCUAGCAGACUUCCAAGCACGCAAGUAUGAGAAUACCAUGGCCAAGGAUCAUAUGGUGAUGCACCGCGGCAGGGCCAUCGGGAUGAAAAAGAGGCUUUUUUCUUGCCCCACGUUGGCCACACCACUACCGCCUACUCGACAAUGAAAGCCGUUGGACCUUGUCUACUUACCAGAGCGGGUUAUAGUUUGAUAAUCAAAUAUCUAACUCUGUCAUGCAUCGGAGUGGAGUAUCACCGUGGCAAGAGACUUCAGAAAUACCACUGCAAUGCAUGGGAGUGGAUCCUCACCAUGGGAAACCAUCCCGCCACCGCUAGGGAGCUCUUGGUUGCACCACAAGCUGCAAUGCCUUGUCGCUUGUGUCACUUAAGCGCUAUGGCCUCUCGCUGCUCAAAAUUGAUAGUUUGGUGCAGUGUCAUUCUUUGUCCCUUGCGCUCAUGAGGGGAGAGAAAGGGAGAGCAGAGAGGAGUGUGGACGCAGUGCUAACUGGUAGAUACGGUCUGUGUGUAAGGCGGCAGUGAUCUGCUGGUAUGAUUCUCGGUGAGCCAAGGUAACAGAUAGCCGUUCCAUCCCUUCUGGCGCCCUGUGGAGCCUGGCCAGAGUUUCCGUCAAAGCUAGGUAGGAAAGUAAGCUUUUCUGUCUUAGUUGCCGAGCAAGCUACAGUUAUCUUUCUUUGAAAAGCUACGCUUUGUUGCAUUGCCACAUGUCACAUGUAGGUUGCUUAUGAUAUGCCCCAAUAGUGGAGAGUAUUUAUCAUAAAACUAUCACACUACAGGUUUCAUCGGUCCCACAGAACUACCGGUUUAAAAAACGUCAAAAAAACCAGAUUAUGCUAAUUUUUUGCCUAAAAACUACCACUUGCGUUAGAUGACCAUUUUGCUGGUUUUAAACGUGUUAUGACAUGUGGGACCCACUUGUCAGGGCUGAUGCGGCAGCAAAGUGAACUCCGUUUAUUCGGACUGUUAUAUUUGCCGUUAUUACCUUCUUCUUCCUCCUCUUUCUUUCCUAGGCAUUUCAACCAACACCUCGUCUUCGUGCCCCACGACAAGCACUGUUGUGGUCCAUGUCGUUCACCUGGAGGCUGUUGUAGUCGAGGAUGACGCCUGACUAGGCCCCGUGCGGUGCAUGGGCUUGUCGUCUUUGGUGGUGCUGUCGAGGACGCGAAGCUCGCCACUGGUCAUGAGCGCGAGCGACAACGAGGCUGCCUCGACCGCGUUCAACCAUCGGACGCUCAUCGACCAUGUGUACUUUCUCGGGGAAGGAGUAGCAGGUGGCAAGGAGAUAGAUGUCGCUUUGUCUUUGAGAGUGGUUAAGGAGACGAUGACUACCGGACGAAAGAAGAGCCCACGGAUCGACACGAACAUGGCGAGGGGAUUGGGGCGGAGAGCGGGGUGGUUGGCGGGAGACUCCUCCUUGCCACUCCAUGGGGAAGUACGAUGUGAAGCGAGAGGGUGCCGUGGCGAAGCUGAGGUGGGCGGUCUCUGGUUUAAAGGAGAGGACUCCAACAAGAAAUGUUUCACUACGGCAUGAAACCGAGAGGGAAGGGGAGGGUCCGUCAGGAAAAGAGAAAUGUGUGUCAUGAUUUAUUUUUCUUCUCUCUUUUGGGAUCGUGUGUUGUGGAUAACAUGAUAGAUACUCCGGGCAAUCACAUUUUCCCCUCACAUAUGGGUUGGAUUUGGGGGAGUUCGAACUGUCCAGUCAGCUGAAUUUUGGGGAGCCUGUUGGGCACCCGUUUGAUGUCCAAACACGUCCAGACGUAUGAGGGAGAAAUGAGCGUCGACCUUGGAGACGACAUUACUGCAUUGUAGCUCGUAGCAACUAUUUAAUGGCUCUUUCUAAAAAGUUUCCAUUUUAGUUUACUGAAUAUGUUUUCUUGCUUGAGU